UCGUCAGGUGGUGCACUGUGACUGAAUUCACUGUCGUCUUGUAGAACUCCCAGAUCUUGUGAUGCUGGAAGAGGCAGUUAUGUUAUGUUCUUUCCCCAGGAGUCUGCGAUGAUGGCAACAGACACACAAAUGACUGAGGUCUGCAUAACAAGCACUUCAGACAUCCACAGUUAAAGGGAACUCUUCAGAUGCUUGGAGCUGUGGACAGCUACAGGAUGAGGGCAGGGAACAGAGCGUAUGAAUGGAAUGGGACGGAACAGAACACAGAGGAAAGGUACAGCUCUGGCCUGUGAAAGGAGAAAGCAUCUUUUGGAAGAAACAAAGGGCAUGAGAAGGUGGGGAGAAAGCAGGUGGUGUAGCAGACUGCUGCUGUGAAGGACUUGAGCCAACCUACUUCUUUGCAUGCAUAAUUGUAAGAGGCGAUUCAGCUGGUGCAGGUAUCUUCCUUUUGAAGUGACACUCCAAAGGACAAUUAUCCUCCACUCUACCACUCCCCUGAAUUUGAAUUCAUGUGGA